UACGUAGGGUGCGAGCGUUGUCCGGAAUUAUUGGGCGUAAAGGGCUCGUAGGCGGUCUGUUGCGUCGGGAGUGAAAACUCAGGGCUUAACCCUGAGCCUGCUUCCGAUACGGGCAGACUAGAGGUAUGCAGGGGAGAACGGAAUUCCUGGUGUAGCGGUGAAAUGCGCAGAUAUCAGGAGGAACACCGGUGGCGAAGGCGGUUCUCUGGGCAUUACCUGACGCUGAGGAGCGAAAGUGUGGGGAGCAAACAGG
rnacentral:rRNA from 1 species